ensembl:lncRNA
GAUUUAUCCUAGGGCCCAGGAGAGCCACGCUGAGCACAAUCCCUCCUGGAUUAACAUGUGUUUGAAGAGUCUGCAUGCAGACGACUGAUGCUGAAAAUCCUGAUGACAGCCUGAGCGUGUUUGUUGGGAAGUGUCACCUCAGCGGCACAGGGACAUCCCUCAGCCUACAGGAAAGCAAGGAUGAAAGGAUGUAGCUACUGUCCCGUAGUACCUGUUGAUGGAUGCAGUCUCCUGCUGGAAGAUUUUCUAGCAUCUUAUUUUUGUGAGGGGAUGAAAAGUAUUACAUUUUUUUCCAGAUCGAAUGAGAGGAGCAAGUGUACCUUCCCCACACACUGUGUACGAGCACCCUGUGGUCAGCAAAUGCCAGUCCAGCUGUUCCCAUUGGAUGCAAUCACUGGCAGAACUGGGUUUGGAGGAACCAAAGAGCCUGUGCUUUCCUUUCCAUCCAUGAAACAAGCUUUUGGCUUCAAAACUUAAAUAAGAAGCUCACUGAUAGAUUUCCAUGUUGUAUAAAUUAAUGCAAGAAGAAAGGGAAAGUAUGCACAGCAACAGAGGGGUUUAUAGCCCUGAAGGAGCAAUGAAAGGAGAUGGACGUUUCUGCCCGCUGCAUUUAUUGGGAAAGGAGAGGUAAUUACACCGUGGUUGUGUUGCUGCCAAGUUAUAAUGUGGAUAGGAUGGUGUCUUUCAAGGAGACUAUCAAAUGGUUCAGUAGCAUGGAUAACCAACUGUGGUUUUUUCUGCAUGAUGACACCAGGCCAUAAUAACUGGUUGGGAAUAACGAUGCUAUAUUUUUCCAUUAAAUAAAGUUUUAUUUGUAGGACAUUGACUGAUUUUUAAAGUAACGUAGACUUUCCUUACCACUAAAGCCCACAUAUUUAACACACAGCCAAACUGUUCUCUCUGAAACCACAUUAUGCAUGUUGUAACAAUACUCUCCCACAGACGAUGAACACUGAGGACAUAUUUUUCCAUGUGAAUCAUCCAUUCACUUAAAAAAUACAUUCCCUUAUUAAAAAAUGCAGCCAUGUGACAAGUUUUGCAGUGCUGUGUUCCACUUCUCUUUUUCAUUAGACUAUUAAAAAUUUAUUGCUGUUUCAAAUCAUUUUCUGAUGACUGCAUAAUUUUUCCUCCUUAUUCCCCUCGUUUCCUUUCCAAGAUAAUAUCAAGCAGUUUCCACCUUCGCUUUGCUGCGAGUGCACCUAAGUAAAAUAAAUGACCAAGAACUGAUCCUGCAGUGAGAUGAAUGCAAAUAGAUCUGCAUUGCUUCCUUCAAACCAGCGGUCACACAUUGACCCAUAAAGCUGCCGGUUGGCAUUUCUCUGCCAAGUAAGGCCACAAAAGAGACAUGAAGUUGUCAUUACAAUCCCUGUCUCUGAUCACUGAGAAAUACGGAGUCCCUGCAAUUUUGUAUGUUUUCCUCUAAAACUAGAAGGUUAAGAGGGAGCAUGAAAAGCAUAUGUUGCUGCUGAAAGGCUGGUAGUCUGGGUUGGUAUCCAUUACCAGAUGCUGUUCUGC